rnacentral:misc_RNA from 2 species
UCGAAACCUGCCUAGCAGAACGACCCGUGAACGCGUUGCAAACAACACCGGAGGUGGUGCGGGUGCAUCCUCGCCUCUCGCCACCCCCGUGUCUCGGAGCGGUCGGUCUCGUCGUCCCUUUGCCCAUCGGGUGGGGUGAGAUGCCGGGAUCAACCUCUUCGAGGCAAAACGAACAAAACCCCCGGCGCGAAUCGCGCCAAGGAAUCGAAACGAAAAAAGGGGCACGUCUUCUGUCGCCGCACCGUUCGCGGUGUCGGUGCUUCAGUGAUGUUGUUCUCUUGUCGCAAAAUAUAC